CCUACGGGUGGCUGCAGUGGGGAAUAUUGGACAAUGGGGGGAACCCUGAUCCAGCCAUGCCGCGUGUGUGAAGAAGGCCCUCGGGUUGUAAAGCACUUUCAGUGAGGAAGAACGCCUGGUGGUUAAUACCCAUCAGGAAAGACAUCACUCACAGAAGAAGCACCGGCUAACUCCGUGCCAGCAGCCGCGGUAAUACGGAGGGUGCGAGCGUUAAUCGGAAUUACUGGGCGUAAAGCGCGCGUAGGUGGCUUGACAAGCCGGUUGUGAAAGCCCCGGGCUCAACCUGGGAACGGCAUCCGGAACUGUCAAGCUAGAGUGCAGGAGAGGAAGGUAGAAUUCCCGGUGUAGCGGUGAAAUGCGUAGAGAUCGGGAGGAAUACCAGUGGCGAAGGCGGCCUUCUGGACUGACACUGACACUGAGGUGCGAAAGCGUGGGUAGCAAACAGGAUUAGAUACCCUUGUAGUC
rnacentral:rRNA from 1 species